rnacentral:rRNA from 1 species
CGCUAUAUGCUCAAGUAAAAGAUUAAGCCAUGCAUGUUGGUUCAUCGUAAGAGAAACUGCGAACGGCUCAUUAGAGCAGAUAUCACUUCCUUCGGCGAUAUCUUAUGGAUAACUGCGGAAAUACUGGAGCUAAUACAUGCAACUAAGCCCUGACGCAAGGAGGGGUGCAAUUAUUAGAACAGACCAACCGUCCUCGGACGUUGACUGUUGACUCUGAAUAAAGCAGUGUAUCGUCGGAGCAAUCCGACGAAGGCCGAAACGAGUGUCUGCCCUAUCAACUAGAUGGUAGUCUAUUAGUCUACCAUGGUUAUCACGGGUAACGGAGAAUAAGGGUUCGACUCCGGAGAGGGAGCCUUAGAAACGGCUACCACAUCCAAGGAAGGCAGCAGGCGCGAAACUUAUCCACUGUUGACAAUGAGAUAGUGACUAAAAAUAAAAAGACCCCUCCUUUGGAGGGGUUAUUUCAAUGAGUUGAAUACAAAUGAUUCUUCGAGGACCCAGGAGAGGGCAAGUCUGGUGCCAGCAGCCGCGGUAAUUCCAGCUCUCCUAGUGUAAAUCGUCAUUGCUGCGGUUAAAAAGCUCGUAGUUGGAUCUAGGUCGCGUGUCGGGGUUCGUUUUCGUACGUUAAUCUCGGCUGCGACUUUCUGCUGGUUUUCCACGGUUCGCGCCGUGGUGGCCAGCGAGUUUACUUUGAAUAAAUUAGAGUGCUCAAAACAGGCGUUGGCUUGCAUAUUCGAUCAUGGAAUAAUGGAAUAGGACUUCGGUUCUUUUUGUUGGUUCUAGAACUGAUGUAAUGGUUAAGAGGGACAAGUCGGGGGCAUUCGUAUCAUUGCGCGAGAGGUGAAAUUCGUGGACCGCAGUGGGACGCCCAAAAGCGAAAGCAUUUGCCAAGAAUGUCUUCAUUAAUCAAGAACGAAAGUCAGAGGUUCGAAGGCGAUUAGAUACCGCCCUAGUUCUGACCGUAAACUAUGCCAUCUAGCGAUCCGGUAGGGUAUUUCGCCUUGCCGGGGAGCUUCCCGGAAACGAAAGUCUUUCGGUUCCUGGGGUAGUAUGGUUGCAAAGCUGAAACUUAAAGAAAUUGACGGAAGGGCACCACAAGGCGUGGAGCUUGCGGCUUAAUUUGACUCAACACGGGAAAACUCACCCGGCCCGGACACCGUUAGGAUUGACAGAUUGAAAGCUCUUUCUCGAUUUGGUGGUUGGUGGUGCAUGGCCGUUCUUAGUUGGUGGAGCGAUUUGUCUGGUUUAUUCCGAUAACGAGCGAGACUCUAGCCUGCUAAAUAGUGUGUGGAUUUUCAAGUCCUUACUACUUCUUAGAGGGAUAAGCGGUGGAGAGCCGCACGAGAUUGAGCGAUAACAGGUCUGUGAUGCCCUUAGAUGUCCGGGGCUGCACGCGUGCUACACUGGAGGGAUCAGCGUGUUUUACCAUUGCCGAAAGGUAUUGGCAAACCGUUGAAACCCCUCCGUGACCGGGAUAGGGAAUUGUAAUUAUUUCCCUUGAACGAGGAAUGCCUAGUAAGUGUGAGUCAUCAGCUCACGUUGAUUACGUCCCUGCCCUUUGUACACACCGCCCGUCGCUAUCCGGGACUGAACUGUUUCGAGAAGAGUGGGGACUGCCGCGUCGGGGCCUCACGGCUCUGGCGUGAUGGGAACCAUUUUAAUCGCAAUGGUUUGAACCGGGUAAAAGUCGUAACAAGGUAGCU